rnacentral:lncRNA from 10 species
GAACACAAAAUGGCGACACGUGGUUAGCAUUCGUCGCCAACGAGAAAUUGGGGUCGGCCCGAAAGCUCUAGAAUGCACCCCUCUUCCUCCCCGGGGCCUUCCACCUCCGCGAGUUUUAUGACUUAAAAAAGCCCACAGGCUGGUCUGAAGAGGAAGACAAACAUAAAGAUGAAGUGCUUAAUUCAAGGUCACACAAUGUCGGGGAUGGACCUCCAGAUUUCCUUACUGAGACGGAGUCUUGCUAUGUUGCCCAGGCUGGUCUUGAACUCCUCACCUCAAGCGAUCCUCCCGUCUUGGCCUCCCAAGUGUCAGGAUUACGGGCAUGUGCUAUCACACCCAACCUGAUACAUUGCCUUUAUAAAUUUUUUUUUCUUUAUUCUAAAAACCAGAAAAAACAAAACUGGAUACAUGUGCAGAACAUGCAGACCAAGUGUGUUGGGGACUUGAGAUGCGUACAUGAGUGUGAUGUUUCCUGCUGAAAGCACAGGUGAGACGUGGUCUUGUAACACAGUGGUUAAGAAUGUGACUUUGGAGCCAGCCUGCUAGGGGCUGAAUUCUGACUCAGCCAUUUACUAACUGUGUG